rnacentral:misc_RNA from 1 species
AAAUGGCAAAGCUUUCGAGCCUAGCUUUUAUCAUCCUAUACACCUGUGAACUAUUUGCCUUCGGGCACCAAACAAACAUAAUGUAAUGAAUGUAAUCUACUAUAAUAAAUACAACUUUCAACAACGGAUCUCUUGGUUCU